rnacentral:rRNA from 1 species
GACAGAGGGUGCAAACGUUGCUCGGAAUUACUGGGCGUAAAGCGCGUGUAGGCGGACUGACAAGUCGGACGUGAAAUCCCUGAGCUCAACUCAGGAACUGCAUCCGAAACUGUCAGUCUUGAGUGGUGGAGAGGGAAGCAGAAUUCUCGGUGUAGCGGUGAAAUGCGUAGAUAUCGAGAGGAACACCUGCGGCGAAGGCGGGUUGCUGGGCUGACACUGACGCUGAAGCGCGAAAGCUAGGGGAGCGAACGGG